rnacentral:rRNA from 1 species
UACGUAGGGGGCAAGCGUUGUCCGGAUUUAUUGGGCGUAAAGAGCUCGUAGGCAGUUUGGUAAGUCUGGUGUGAAAUCUCCACGCUCAACGUGGAGGGGCCACCCGAUACUGCCAUGACUGGAGUCCGGUAGAGGAGUGUGGAAUUCCCGGUGUAGCGGUGAAAUGCGCAGAUAUCAGGAGGAACACCGGUGGCGAAGGCGGGUCUCUGGGCCGAUACUGACGCUGAGGAGCGAAAGCGUGGGGAGCAAACAGG